rnacentral:rRNA from 1 species
UGUGGCUGGGGGUGAAAGGCCAAUCAAACCGGGAGAUAGCUGGUUCUCCCCGAAAGCUAUUUAGGUAGCGCCUCGUGAAUUCAUCUCCGGGGGUAGAGCACUGUUUCGGCAAGGGGGUCAUCCCGACUUACCAACCCGAUGCAAACUGCGAAUACCGGAGAAUGUUAUCACGGGAGACACACGGCGGGUGCUAACGUCCGUCGUGAAGAGGGAAACAACCCAGACCGCCAGCUAAGGUCCCAAAGUCAUGGUUAAGUGGGAAACGAUGUGGGAAGGCCCAGACAGCCAGGAUGUUGGCUUAGAAGCAGCCAUCAUUUAAAGAAAGCGUAAUAGCUCACUGGUCGAGUCGGCCUGCGCGGAAGAUGUAACGGGGCUAAACCAUGCACCGAAGCUGCGGCAGCGACGCUUAUGCGUUGUUGGGUA